rnacentral:misc_RNA from 1 species
GAAAUGCGAUACGUAGUGUGAAUUGCAGAAUUCCGUGAACCAUCGAAUCUUUGAACGCAAAUUGCGCCUGAGCUUCGGCAAAGGCAUGUCUGUCUCAGCGUCGGCUCACCCCUUCACCUCCCCCUUGUUGGGGAGGUGGACCUGGCCGUCUGGGGCCUGCCCACUCUUGUGGGUAGCCCGGUCGGCUGAAGCGCAGAGGUCACGGCGUGUCCCAUCAAAGGGCAUCAGCUAGGUAGGCUGCCGAAAGGCUGCAUACCGCUGGUCACCCCGGGACGGUUGCCGUCUGACCGGCAGGAAUGGGCCCUCCUCGGAGGCCCAGCCCCUUCAAUUUUCGACCUGAGAUCAGGCAAGACUACCCGCUGAACUUAA